AGGCAUGCGGGUUUAUUGUUAGAAUUAAUUAAUGGACUAUUAAUAAGAAAUGUAGAUAAUGUAUGCUGCAGAGCUUUGAAAAUCCUGAAACACACCCUAAGGGUUAUGGAAUUUACAUCUUUCAUAGCUUCUAUUAUUUCUUCACUAGUUUGCAGCUAUGCUCACACCUGGAAGGUGACAAAAGGUGGAGUUUACUUUCUCGCCCGUGUCAGCAGUCAUACGGUGGAAUCCAUGAAAAUUGGAUUUCCUUUUUCUGGUGCGUUUUACUCUUGAACUGUAUAACUGUGGAUAACUUUAAUACUGCCCAUUCUUUGUUUUCAGUUAUAUAAUUUCUAUUAGCCUUAAAAGUAACCGAUAUAUUUCUUUUUUAAGGUUUCAGUAUAAAACAUAAUCUGCAUCUUCAUUAUGAAACUCAUAUGCAAUUUUCUUCUAUCUCUAGAAGUUUAGAUUGAGGUUUAAAAGAACCAUUUUCAUUAUCAAGCUUCCCCAUAGUUUCCCACUUUCUUAUUCCAAAUAUUUUUAAAAAUCACUCCAAAUAUCAGAGCUUUUAGCAAUAUAAAGAAAGAUUUAUUUUCAAAAGUAGCAAAACUUGUUUGAAAAAAAUAUAUAUCUUUAAGUGAAUUACUUUAUAAAUGUGACUGUCAAAGUCAGCUAUCCUAUGAUCUACAUUUUACAACAUAUUGUACAAAAGAUACAUUGAUAGGCUCUUAUCUAUUUAUAUAUUUAUAAUUACAUAUUGCACUUGGACCAGCAAGGCUUGCAGAGUCAUUCACGGUAGAAGUUAAUAAAGUUAAAUAGAUGGGAAUCUUUGUAAGUACAAUUGAUCUCCUCUGGUUUGGAAACGAAUCUCCUCGUCGUUGUAAAGUGUUCUCGCGGGGUGGGACAGAGAGAGGAGCAUUGCGAGGGGGAAGCAGAGACAGAGAGCACUGAGGGCAGGGGUCGCCUUCCCGGGGCCCGCUCCCCCCGGGAGCGCGCCUUUCCCAGACUCGCACCUCCAAGGUCAGGACGCGGUGGUUCCACAUAAGCGGCUCGCGGUCACCACUUCUUUCAGGUCACUCUCGGGUUUCCCGGCCACCAUAAAGGGCCACGUCUGCGGGAAAGAAGAGGGUGGAGGAGAGUUGUGAGAAGGAACCCCGAGGACUUCUGCAGCAGAGGAACCGGCUCUCUGUUUCCCCACUCCCAGAGUCGUGGCCGUAGAGGAGGGUGAGCGAGCGCUGAGGAAUUUGGUGGACACUAGGAAUUUAUCUGGGGAAUAGAGGGGCGGAUCCUUGCAGCCCAGGGAGGGGCCUGCCAGGCCCCAGCAAAGCGCUUAGACCCCUUUCACAACCGGAGGGAAACUCAAUGCACAGACCCUGAUUUGCAACUUGUAAUGUAAAUCAACUCAACUGCAUCAUGUACUUACCAGCCACCUUCUCCCAACUGUGGCCGGGGCCGAGAAGCAGCAUGUUCUGUCCAUCUGUAAAAGGCCUUCUUUCUCUCUUAAGACGUCACAACUGGUUGUUACUGAGAACUUUAGAAAAACGACUAGAUCGUUUGGCUCUUUCUGGGCCUUCCACCUACACUCCAUGCCCUCUCUCCUCCCAAGAAAACACGAAUUAAAAUACAGGGAGUAUCAACCGCAUCCUGCCAACACCUCAUAAGACUCCAAGGCUUUACCGAGAUCUUCCACCUUCCCCGGGAUAAAUGAAGACAAGUGCUUCCUAGAAUCUUUAUGGUGAUGGAAAAGUGGAGAUUUAAAUGACCACAUCCACCCUAAGAUUUAUUGUGAGAAUGAUUGAUGUUAUAAACCAGGAAAAGGACUCUUCCCACAGCAGGGAUGACAGAAAUAUCAAGUUGAAGUUGCCUUUGUCUUCACAUACGAAUGACCCAGUACUACAACACAGAAAGUAUAAUAAUUUAAUCUGAGGUUCAAGACAGCAGUGAGAGAACACCCAGCAGGCCUGUUAAAAAUUUCUUCACUAAUUCCUCAACUAGUUUCCUUUGAUUUGCUCUCCCUUUUCUCAGUCUUGGUAAAACAUGAAAGUUAAAGUUAUUUUUAGACUAAAGAGCUAUGUGAAAAUGGGCAUUGGCCAAUACUUUGUGAAAUGUGUGUGUGUGUGUGUGUGUGUGUGUGUAGCUACUAAGAUAUCUGCAAAAUAACUACAAAUAAUUAAUUUGGGCUCUGGAAUGUGAUAAUUAUUAUAAAUCCAAACUAUGGCCUUACUGCAUACAUUAAGCUGUGAUUUUUCUUGUUGGAGCCAUUUUUUUUUCUUUUUGGCUCUGGGUCUCUGUUACACCUUAGUUAAUGGACUGCUCAGGCUGUCUGGGGAGAUAGUAAAAAUCAUAGUAAUAUGUACCACUGAAAAGAUUUCUGUUGUCUGUAUAUUUUUCAAUGUUGGAAACUUAAAAGUACCAAUUUCUGGAAGCAUGUAAAACUAGCCUCAUGUCAUAGGCUGGUUUUUAUGCUUAGCAAUUAUUUUUCUUCAUAGCCAUAUAAGAAAUAAUUAAGUCCCAUGUCCAUUUAUCUUGCAGUAAGACAUUUGGGCUGAGAAAGGCUAGUGGGCUGAUAAUAAAUUUUGGAGUGUUUCUAAAAUUCUGUAAAAGAUGGCUUCCAGUUUGGGAGUAAGAGUCGAAGAAUACUGUUGCUUAUGUAUCUUGAUAUGAAGUCUUGGAGAGAGAAUAUUCAUAUGAAAAAUACUUUUUUUCUUUUAAAAUUUUGUGUCUAUCCCUGCUAAUAAACACUUAGGGACAAAUGGGUGGGAGAAAUGACUUCUUGUUGGAUUCUACUGAGCAAGUCAUUUAAGCUGUAACUUAAGCUGUGCCAAAUUCUCCCAAAAUAUAAACUAUAUUCUGUGAGAAGACAAGCACUUUUGAGAAGCUGUAUUAACCCUUUUGGUAAGUUGACCAUUUCUGUUCCAAAGCACGAAAUAGAAAACUCGUGAUUUGAAAGUAUGAGAUCAUUUCUAAAAGUUCUUACCUGACUUUUAAGAAACAUUUAUGCCCCAGAGGCAUCUGGCCAAUUUGCUGCUCACUUCUAACAAUUUGUUUUGCAAGAGAGACUAUCUUUGAAAGAUUUUAGUGCUAAGGAAAUUUUAUCUCUGAAAGCUGUAAAAUGAAGAUUAGGCAUGGAAUGUACCCUUGAACUUAAAUCCUGGUUUAUCAGCUGAUACAUUUACAGGAAGUUCAAAUUUGAUUCAGUUGCACUUGGAUGGAAUAAUUUGCUUCCUUUUUUAUGAGAAGGAAAACAUCAUAGGCUUCCUUUGAACUGACUUCAUAUGCCAUUACAUAAUCUUUCUCAGGGGAAAAAUAUGCCUUUAAAUUUAAAUGUUAAUCCUUUUCUCUUACUCCUCAUCAUUUGGUCAGGAGACACAGGCUGGCAAAUUGGCAAAACUGCCCAUUCUCUUUUUUCUUCAUUUCUAAUUAGCACCUCCAGAUGUUUUAUUCAUUUUAUUUGAUGGUAACUACCACCACUUCAAAUAUUUGCCAACUUUCUAUGCAAAAAAAAGUUGACGCCUUUUUUUUUUCUUUUUUUGAUGGAGUCUUGCUCUGUCACCCAAGCUGGAGUGCAUCAGCACGAUCUAGGCUAACUGCAACCUCCGCCUCCCAGGUUCAAGAGAUUCUCAUGCCUCAGCCUCCCGAGUAGCUAGAAUUACAGGUGCCUGCCACCAUGCCUAUCUAAUUUUUGUAUUUUUAGUAGAGGUGGGGUUUCACCAUUUUGGCCAGGCUGGUUUCAAACUCCUGAUCUACCCACUUCAGACUCCCAAAGUGCUGGGAUUACAGGCAUGAGCCACCGUGCCCAGCCAGGUGCCUCUUUUUUGAUUUUACAUAAUUAUCUCCAUAUACUUUGUUUGCUGCUGAUUGACUGUUGUCUAUCUCCCGCUUAUAUGCCUAUCAAACUCUGACUUUGUUUCAUUAAAUUUUAACUUUAUUUAAUAAAGUGAGCAUUACCUCUCUUUGCUCAUUCUAAAUUAUAGUGGUGCUGUCCUGUUAUAUUUUGGCAGCCAAAGUGAAUAUGGCACUAGUGAGCUUGGUGGCUAGCUAAGAAGGUCAAUAACAGUGAUGCUGGGUAUUGCUGCUACCUUUACCUGGCACCAGCUGGGAGAUGGUAUAAAUCCUGGAUGGUAUAAAUCCAUUCAGUAAUUAGAAGUCUUCUGCGUGUUCACUAUACCUUAACCCCCUCUUUUCACAUUUAAUUCAGUGAAUUGUAGAUAAGAUGCCACAUUGCUAAGAUUUAAAGGUGGCAAAUAACAACAAUAAAGUCUAGGGAAAGAUUCUGCAUGGUUCUUUGAAUCCAGGAGUUAAUCUUGCAUUUCACAUGUUCCACAAUACAGCUUUGAAAGCAGCCAAGCCUAUGCACUUGAAAGUCAGAAUUUACCCUAAGGUGUAAGUGGGCCAGAGAAAACUCGGGCAGACAAAGAGAGUUAAAAAUUUUGCAAAGCCAGUUUAAUGUCCUCCUAAGUUUUCUAAUACUAGAAUAAUUUUAUUAGACCCUGUCAGUGUUAGGAAAGAGAGAGAAAAGGACUGAGCGACUCCUGAGUCAGGUACCAUGCAGGGACUUUUGCCUCCAUUCUCUCAUUUCAUGUAUUUUCUCUCCUUUCUGUUGGCACUACUAAAGAAAGAGCUGCCACAUGAAAUGAACAGUGUAUUAGAAAUGUAUGCCAGAGGCUUUCCCCUGUAAUAAAGUUUUAGAAAAACUG
ensembl:lncRNA TARID TCF21 antisense RNA inducing promoter demethylation